rnacentral:lncRNA from 12 species
AUGAGGGAGGGAGGGAGUGGGGUUCAGGAACUCGGGGCUUGGUUGGUGGGGGUACACCCACUCAGCUCAUCCUGGGAGUGUCACUGGUCACUACAGGCGGCUGUGCAUUACCCCCUGACCCGGCCCAGACAGGGGUCCCCUUUCACAGGAAAAUUAGCCUGGAGGGACUUGGGCAUGGGUGCAGAGCCAGCUGUCUGGCCCUGUCGCUGCUGCGUGGCCGGCCAGUGUCCUCCCCCUCUGUGUCUGCUUCUGUCCAUGCAGAGGGCCAUGGUGAGGGAGUGGCGAGCAUGUGUGAAGGUGCACAUGGGGGGCACGUGGGGCGCGUGGGGUGGGUGGGCACAGGGAACAAGCCACGGGGAUGACAAUUAUUUUCUCUCUGGGCCGGACACUGACUGGCCCCUUGCAUCUGGCUCUGUCUCCCGCUGGCCCCUCAGCUCCUGGGGAUGCCAGCUGUGUCGCGGCACCUCCCUGCCUCUGCAACCGCUCUGGCCCGUGUCUGGCCCUUCGGAGUGUGAAAGGAAGGAAGAAACAGUCCGUGUAAAGGAAGCCCCGGCGAACGGAUGCACAUGUGCUGGCGUGGAAUUCAAGUCAUCAGCGGAGUUUUGUAAACUGGACACAACUGUGAGGUGGGUGUCAUGUCUGGGGCCCAGAGGAAGAAUGUCACCAGCCCUCAGAAAGCCCCUUCCGGUCACUGCAGCCCCAUCCUGGGCCCUGUGGUGGACCAGCGCCCACCUCUGCCACAGUGCACAUGUCCAAGGGCUGGUGUGGCUGCCUGCCGCAGGGGCUGUGACUCCGCUCCGGGGCUUCUCUGUGCCUUCCACUGCGGUGCUGGGCACGUGUCUACCUCGGGGCUGUCAGGGCACGAGCUGCUGGACAUCCCAGCACAAGUCCUUCUGCAAACACCUGUGUGUGCCAAGGCAUGGUGCACUGGAUCUCGGGGAUGCAGGGUCUCCACAGUGGCUCCCACAGUGGCUGCAGCAGCCCCACGGCUACUGGCCUUGCUAGCCAGCACUGGUCCUUUCUGCCCUCACUGUGCUGGCCCGGGGCUGUGGGAGUGAGUCACAUGGUGGCUUUAAUGGGCAUCUUCUGAUGAUUAAUGAUGUUAAACGCUGUUUUCCUUUUUUUUUUUUUUUAAGAUUUCACUUAUUUAUUCAUGAGAGACACAGAGAGAGAAAGAGGCAGAGACACGGGCAGAGGGAGAAGCAGGCUCUCUGUGGGGAGCCCGAUAUGGGACUGGAUCCUGGGACUCUGGGACCAUACCCCUAGUGAAAGGCAGACACUCAAUCACUGAGCCACCCAGACAUCCCCUGUUUUCCAUUUUUAUCGGCUGUUUAAAUUUCCUCCUUUGUGAAGUGCCCAUUCAAGUUUUUUGUCCAUUUUUCUGUGGUCUUGUCAACUUUGUCUUACUGAUUUAUGUGAGAUCUUGAUAUACGUUGGCUGUGAGUUUUUUGUCAGAUUAUGAAUUGCAGUAAUCAUAAUGGUGUGUUUUGAUAAGAAGCAUUAACAUAGGGGUGCCUGGGUGGCUAAGAUGGUGAAGCGUCUGCUUUCCGUCCAGCUCAUGAUCUUGGGCUCCUGAGAUCGAACCCCACAUUGGGCUCCCUGCUCAGUGAGGAGGGAGUAUGCUUCUCUCUCUCCCCCUCUCCCCAAUGGUACUCUCUCUGAAAUGAAUAAAUAAAAAUAAAAUCUUAAAAAAAAGGGUGCC